UUUUUUUUUUAAUUUUUGUUUGUUUUUUGUAGAAAUGGAAUAUUUGGAACUUUGGACUAGAAAAGUAGUUGAAUGAUGCAAGCAGAGCAUAAAAGUCUUUUCUAGGAGGAGACUGGAAGGCAGUAAAUUCUGAUAACAAAUCAAAUUAUAGAGAAAAAAAAACAGACUUAAACAACUGGGCUCCUGGUCAUUCUUGUGAUAUUUUGCCAAAGUAUUUGAGGUUUCCUCCUUUUAUCCUAAGAAUAUUCCAACUGCUAAGUAAAAAAAGAACUGAACUGAUUUCUUCGGCAAAAAGAAAGUUUCAAGAAAACAUACUUCUGAUUCUGUGGCAUGGUUGUGACUUAUGAUGCUUAUGUAUAUUUAGAAUAAAAACGAGUGAGUGGUGAAGAAAGACAUAAAAAUUUACAGUUUAAAGAGAAAUAAACAGUGAGAAGCUUAAUGUUGUAGCCCAGAAAAUGUUAGGAAAGUGGUUUUAAUUGUUAAGGAGAUUAACACCAGUAAGAAGAGGGUUUUGUUUUGUACUGGAACAAUGGGAAAAGGAAAGAAAAGACCACACUAAACUAAGCUUCCAACUUUUGAAAGAGAUCAGAAGAUUUGUGUUCCUAGAAAGGAACUGAAUAAAAGAAAGAAAGAAAGAAAGAAAGAAAGAAAGAAAGAAAGAAAGAAAGAAAGAAAGAAAGAAAAAAAAAGCAUGUCAUUGGCACUCAAUGGGGUCACAUUGUAUUCAAAAGCUUCUAUACUUAAAUCCAUGAGUACAGGAAUCAAGGGGUCAUGGGUUCUUCCUCCAUCAUUACAGUAGCAUUAAAACCAAGCAUUUUUAAUCCCUCAAGCAAGAAAAACACCAGUAACCCAAAGUUUGAGCCAAAUUUGAAGUGAGUUUUAUUAAAUACUAGCCAGGAAAAUCUUCAAUGGCCAGGUUCAAAGCUGGGGUUCC
rnacentral:lncRNA from 1 species